rnacentral:lncRNA from 1 species
CGUGUGCAGGCAAUGCAUUUAAUUAAAGAACACUGGUAAUAUAUCAUGACGGGGGAAAACUAAGCUUCUGAUUAGCAAUUUUAGAUGGGUUUCAUUCACCGUUAUAACAGUAUCUUUAUGCAUUUUACAUAUGGAUUUCUUUACAAGACAUAAUUUGAUUUGGAACUGCAACAUGGAACUCAAGUCUCAAACUUGUGAUUAAUUCUUAAAAAUAUUCAAGUCUCUUGUGAAGAGUCAUCUCACUGGCAAUUACACCACAUCUUACUUGUAUCUAUAUAAUCACCAGUUAAAAGGGGUCUCUUUUUUGUUCAAUGGUUUUCUUCUAAUUUGGCAAAUUGCAGAAUAAAAUCAUAAUUUAUGGGCAAUAAUUAGCUACAUAUAUAGUGUCAGGCCUUGCCACUUUCAAAAGUAAAUCUUAUAAUGCUGAUCACUUGGGCAGUUUCAAGAUGGUCUUGUAUAGUUUAAUCAAUUUU